rnacentral:rRNA from 1 species
GAGAAAGCUUGCUUUCUUGCUGACGAGCGGCGGACGGGUGAGUAAUGUAUGGGGAUCUGCCCGAUAGAGGGGGAUAACUACUGGAAACGGUGGCUAAUACCGCAUAAUGUCUACGGACCAAAGCAGGGGCUCUUCGGACCUUGCACUAUCGGAUGAACCCAUAUGGGAUUAGCUAGUAGGUGGGGUAAAGGCUCACCUAGGCGACGAUCUCUAGCUGGUCUGAGAGGAUGAUCAGCCACACUGGGACUGAGACACGGCCCAGACUCCUACGGGAGGCAGCAGUGGGGAAUAUUGCACAAUGGGCGCAAGCCUGAUGCAGCCAUGCCGCGUGUAUGAAGAAGGCCUUAGGGUUGUAAAGUACUUUCAGCGGGGAGGAAGGUGAUAAGGUUAAUACCCUUGUCAAUUGACGUACCCGCAGAAGAGCACCGCA